UCACACGCCAGAACGCAGUUGGAGUCUUCAUUGCCCACUGCAACAAAAAUAUCCCGUGGCAUCGGAACACAUGACCCAGGAAUCGUUUUUUGAAGACAUGAGGCUUGUUUAUUACAACCACAAGCACCACAACUACCCUACUACUGUAUGUCGUUGUUCAAACAGAAAAGGGGAAGGGCAUAACUGGCCGGUGUUUCGCCCACACUACUAGGAAAACGAAACUCAUAAAAACGCCCGUGGGUAGUGAGAAUGCAAGAGAUUUACAUUAGGUUUUCGCUGUGUACACUUCAUGGACUUAGUUUAGCGUGCAUGUGACCUCCCGCCUCCCUCCUCGAAGAUGCAAAGGUUAAGUUGACAGCAGUACGUGCCAGCUGAACAAGACGUUGUGCGUUAUGUCUUGAAUCCGUAGAAAUGUCGACAUCACACUCGAGAGAUGCUCAGCUGCAGCAGUUCAUGCAGAUGUAUGAGCUGAGAGCUGUUUGUAAUGGCUGUACUGAAAAACACUCUCACAUUUCCUACACCAUCAUUGCAACACCUCACCGUUGCUCUCAUGAUGUCCUGCUAGCCAGAGCAAAGGUCAGAGGUUCCAGAUGGAGCCGUGUGUUCCAGCGGCCCACUCACCCACGACCGCAACGAUACGAGGUUUGCUGGUAUUUUCAGGAGGAUGUGGGGUGCCGUAUACAUCGAGACAGAUGCACGUUUGCCAGCAGUCCAGAAGAGGCUGCGGUGUGGAACUUGCAAAAACACACAAAUCUUGAUCACAGAACAAUAAUUCAUCUGAUUACUCAGAGAAAGCGACGGGCUGAGAGCAAGAAAGAAGCUCAGCCGAGUUUUCAGGAGCUUUCUUCAUACCAGGAAAAACUUCUGGAAGAAUACAGAAGCAGCAGCAACGAGAUUCUUGUUAUCUCUGAGCAUGUAGAUGAUGUGCGUGUUACACACGAUGAGAAUCUCAGUAUGGACUGUUUACAAGAGGACAAUGAAAUCAGAUGGAAAUUCACAAUCACCACUGAGGUCAGAAACACACGCUAACCUGCAUCAGCUUACAUUCAGCUAAUAUUAAACUUAUUUUAAUAACACACUAAUAAUAACCUAGUUUGUUUUGUGUGUGUGUGUGUGUAUGUGCAUGUCUAGAGAUCCUUGGCUCACGUAGCUCUACUAAAAGUGGAAAAUGGUGCUGUUUUCUCUUUGAGUGAUAGUUUAAGAAACACCAUCCCCCCAAUCACACACAUAGCAGGCCACGAGCUUCGUUCCUCUCAGUCCACCUACCAGCUGAGUGUGUCUUUCCUGUCUUUCCACCCUGGUGUGUACGAACAAUGGCUGGUGUUUGAUUUUGACAUGCGACCAGUUCUGCUCAGGAAACUGAAGGUGAGGGUUGGACAGCAGUUCCUUGUCCAGCCUGAAGAGGCAGAAGAGAGUGAAUGUGCUGAGAUUCUUUCCAAUGAGCGCUGGAACAGGGGAAACAGGGUUAUCGUGCCCUUCUUCGCCAGAAAGGAGGAGGACGAGCAGUUGCUCAGUAAAUACAAACCACCUCAACUGAACCUGCAGUUCAAUCCACAUGCAGAUCAUAGUUUGCCACUUCAUCGGGAAAACUACAGAGAGAGGGCUCACCACUUCCUGUUCAGGGAGGAAAUUGCAGAGGAGGAGCUCAUUAGCAGGUAUAGACAGCUUGUAGAAAUAGUGCACUUGAAAUGUAUGCUGUGGUGUAAAUUUACUAUAUUUUCUUUAUUUUUGUGGAUGUAUUCCCAAAACCAGUUAAACAUAAAUUGUGCAUCAAUGCUAUGCUAAAGUUGAGGUGUGGGUUUAAGUUAUGUUAUAGGUUAAUAUUCGUGUUCAGUGUUCCAGUCAACAAUUCUGAAACCAACAGAAGAACAAUUAAAUUAAUUAGAUGCAGGAUUUACUGGUCUUCUGUUGGUUUUAGAAUUUUCAUUUUCAAAAUCCCAUAAUAGGGGCUCUUUAAUUAGUAUGU
rnacentral:lncRNA from 1 species